UGCUGCAUGGCUGUCGUCAGCUCGUGUCGUGAGAUGUUGGGUUAAGUCCCGCAACGAGCGCAACCCUCGCCUUUAGUUGCCAUCAUUUAGUUGGGCACUCUAAAGGGACUGCCAGAGGUGGGGAUGACGUCAAGUCCUCAUGGCCCUUACGGGCUGGGCUACACACGUGCUACAAUGGUGGUGACAGUGGGCAGCAAGCACGCGAGUGUGAGCUAAUCUCCAAAAGCCAUCUCAGUUCGGAUUGCACUCUGCAACUCGAGUGCAUGAAGUUGGAAUCGCUAGUAAUCG
rnacentral:rRNA from 1 species